rnacentral:rRNA from 1 species
UACGAAGGGGGCUAGCGUUGCUCGGAAUCACUGGGCGUAAAGAGCUCGUAGGCGGUUUCGUAAGUCGGAUGUGAAAACUCCAGGCUCAACUUGGAGACGCCAUUCGAUACUGCGAUGACUUGAGUCCGGUAGGGGAGUGUGGAAUUCCUGGUGUAGCGGUGAAAUGCGCAGAUAUCAGGAGGAACACCGGCGGCGAAGGCGGCACUCUGGGCCGGUACUGACGCUGAGGAGCGAAAGCGUGGGUAGCAAACAGG